rnacentral:rRNA from 1 species
GACGAACGCUGGCGGCGUGCUUAACACAUGCAAGUCGUACGGUAAGGCCCUUUCGGGGGUACACGAGUGGCGAACGGGUGAGUAACACGUGAGUAACCUGCCCACAACUUUGGGAUAACGCUAGGAAACUGGUGCUAAUACUGGAUAUGUGCCCCUGCUGCAUGGUGGGGGGUGGAAAGCUCCGGCGGUUGUGGAUGGACUCGCGGCCUAUCAGCUUGUUGGUGGGGUAGUGGCCUACCAAGGCGGCGACGGGUAGCCGGCCUGAGAGGGUGACCGGCCACAUUGGGACUGGGAUACGGCCCAGACUCCUACGGGAGGCAGCAGUGGGGAAUAUUGCACAAUGGGCGCAAGCCUGAUGCAGCAACGCCGCGUGCGGGAUGACGGCCUUCGGGUUGGAAACCGCUUUCAGCAGGGACGAAGCUUUUUGUGACGGUACCUGCAGAAGAAGCACCGGCUAACUACGUG